rnacentral:misc_RNA from 1 species
GUGAAUCAUCGAAUUUUUGAACGCAAACUGCACUCUCUUCGGAGAGUAUGCCUGUUUGAGGGUCAGCCUAAAAAAAAAUCGACAUAGUCGCUGUUUCGCGGUGACAUUCGUCGGGAAUUGGGUUAUCUUAAACCUUUGGGUUCUAAGCGGCUUAAAAUUUUCUUUACGAUUCCACGAUCGUUUCUAAGAUUUACUUCUUAUACGUUGAAGGUUUCGAUCUUUAUUAAACGGGGUCGUUGCAUCUGAGUUCGUCC